rnacentral:rRNA from 1 species
AGUGAACGCUGGCGGUAGGCCUAACACAUGCAAGUCGAACGGCAGCACAGUAAGAGCUUGCUCUUACGGGUGGCGAGUGGCGGACGGGUGAGGAAUACAUCGGAAUCUACUUUUUCGUGGGGGAUAACGUAGGGAAACUUACGCUAAUACCGCAUACGACCUACGGGUGAAAGCAGGGGAUCUUCGGACCUUGCGCGAUUGAAUGAGCCGAUGUCGGAUUAGCUAGUUGGCGGGGUAAAGGCCCACCAAGGCGACGAUCCGUAGCUGGUCUGAGAGGAGGAUCAGCCACACUGGAAGUGAGACACGGUCCAGACACCGACGGGAGGCAGCAGUGGGGAAUAUUGGACAAUGGGCGCAAGCCUGAUCCAGCCAUACCGCGUGGGUGAAGAAGGCCUUCGGGUUGUAAAGCCCUUUGUUGGGAAAGAAAAGCAGCAGGUUAAUACCCCGCUGUUCUGACGGUACCCAAAGAAUAAGCACCGGCUAACUUCGUG